rnacentral:rRNA from 1 species
UACGGAGGGUGCAAGCGUUGUCCGGAAUCACUGGGCGUAAAGGGCGCGUAGGCGGCUCAUGAAGGCUGUGGUGAAAGUCCGGGGCUCAACCUCGGAUCGGCCGUGGCGACUCGUGGGCUGGAGCACUGUAGAGGCGGGUGGAAUUCCGGGUGUAGCGGUGGAAUGCGCAGAGAUCCGGAAGAACACCAGUGGCGAAGGCGGCCCGCUGGGCAGUGGCUGACGCUGAGGCGCGACAGCGUGGGGAGCAAACAGG